GAUCCUGGCUCAGGAUGAACGCUAGCGGCAGGCUUAACACAUGCAAGUCGAGGGGCAGCAUAAUGGAUAGCAAUAUCUAUGGUGGCGACCGGCGCACGGGUGCGUAACGCGUAUGCAACCUACCUUUAACAGGGGGAUAACACUGAGAAAUUGGGUACUAAUACCCCAUAAUAUCAUAGAAGGCAUCUUUUAUGGUUUGAAAAUUCCGAUGGUUAAGAGAUGGGCAGUGCGUUGUAUUAG
rnacentral:rRNA from 1 species